UGAUUGAUCCCGCCUAGGCCC
rnacentral:piRNA from 1 species